GUGAGUGGCAUGAAAUUGCUUAAGCUGCUCCCACGUAACCUCCGGGAUGCACAGUGGGUCACCCCCAGAGACCACUGAGUACAUGUGGUGGGGAAGAAGUCUGUUUUGAAGGUGCUGGGAGAAUAUCCUCUCAUUGUCUGUCUUGAAAUGUGAAGUAAAUAAAUAAGAAUAUGUACAUAUAAACUAAUACACACACACUACAUUACUUACAAUAUAGCCAAUCGAUCACAUUGUGGUGCAUAUGUCUGUAAUACUCUGCAAAUAAAACUGUUUUAAAGGUAAAAAAAAAAAAAAAAAAAAAAAGACACCCCUGCAGGCAUUGUUUAACACUGUAUUCAAUCACUCAUCACCCAUGCAACAGGACCCAAGGAUUGAGAACAAUGGACUUUUUGAUGUGUGUUGCAACAAACUCAUAGCCGAGGGCUGUAAACCGGAGGGAUCACCAGGUCUGCCUACCAGUCACCAGGCAAGUGGGGAGAAGCUGUCACCCCAACUUGAGUUUCAAGAAGACUCCUUGGAAGAAAAGACCACCAAAUUGAGAAUGAAAAGAUCAUACACGGGGGUCGUCAGACAUGGUCUGAGACCUGCUGCGAAGAACAGCAGCCUGGCCCUGCUACCCCCUGGCUUCUGCUCACAGCACUGACCCCAGCUAAUCCAAGAACAUGUCACCUAUAAUGAGGAUAUUGAAGAAAAAUCAACCAUCUUCCAGAUGUGUCUAUAUCAUGAUACGGUACAUGGGUAAGGUAAGCUGAACACAACAUAAAAAAGAAAACUUACAAAUGCUCCCUUCAUCUCAUUAAAGAUGACUCCUUUAAAGACCAAGGGCAUCUGGGGGUCGCUGGGGUUCUCAUAUUCCAGGCGCCAUCCUUCCUGCCUGAGGACAAAUAAUAAUAAGCUGACAGUGACUCAAAUACUAAAGUCUGUAUCAACUAGUUAAUCACUCAUGACAUACCAGAAAUCCAGCUCACGUAAACCUGGGAAAAAGGUCUCAUCCAAAUACACUGAGAGGAGAUUCUGAAAGUCCUUGGGAUUUUGUGUGGAAAAUGGAUACAGAGUAUAAUCACUAGCUCGGUAAAAAUGAAAAGUGAAAUUGUAAAAUUUAACAGAUUUCUACUAAAAUUAUUGAAUCUUAAGCCUCAUUUCCCCUUUGUCUUAGGACAGUAAGUUGUAGCUAUUCUUGAGAUGGGGCAGUGGCUCCAUGCUCUGGCCCCCGACCCCAGCAGCCAUCCCAGCUCAUCGCCCUGAGUGCCGGCUUUCCCAUCCCAUCUCAGGAUCUGCACUGGACGGGCACCAGGUCUUUCUUCAGCGAACAUCUAAACUCUCUCAAGUGUCUCCAGAGACUUUCACAUGUCUACAAAGAUGACCUCAUUCUGUAAGAGCAUGGAUUUAACUUGCUCUACGAUGUCACUCCUUCACAGAGUGCACUGUUCAUCGUCACCCUAUUCACUAGCGUCAGUCUUACUAAAAGUCAAACAUCAAUGUUAGUGGUAACUCUGGAGGCCUGGCAUUGUAGCGAUAUCCCCAGGAGAAAAUUGUUUUGAACCUUUCUGGGAAAAGUUCACGUACGUUUUAUUCAAACACUAGUUUUUAUAACCUCGCUACCAUGUGACUUUCCUGAAGGAUGAAAUUUCUGACGUCCUUCAAGUAGAGAGAGAGAAAAAUUUUUCUAGAACAUUAAUUGCCCACUCCUCUCAUCCCUUCUCAGAAACUAACUGAAUUCCAGUGGGUGUGCCUGGCAAACCCAAACACGGUUUUCCGUUCAGGAUGCUGGUCUUACCUGUGAAGGCGUUCAUGCACGUGGAGAGGGACCGGUUCAACAUUUUGAAGAAAGGGUCUCUGCACGGAUAUUUCCGAGACCCACAAAGGAUGGUAUGCUCAAGAAUGUGAGGAACACCGGUGCUGUCCAUGGGAGUGGUGCCGAACUGCAUGCUAGGGAAGAAGGAAUGGCAUGCCAGGGAAGGGAGAGGAACAGAACGCUAGGCAAGGAGAAUGACUAGAAUACAAAACGUUCAUCUAAGUGCUGCGGACACAGUUCCCAGAUGCAUCAUCACCUCAGGCUACUAGAAAUCAUCAUUCUGACACCACAAUCCUCCAACACGGGGUUUCCCAACUCUAAUGUAAAUCAUUGAUUCAGACUAAAAAUUGUAUUUUGAUGAGAUUGUAAGUCCGUGUAAGCUUUUCCUUAUUUUUCAAGAUGCUCUGUCAAUAAAAAUACUAGUGAGAUGAUAUUUAAACCACGUAACAUACAGUCAGUGCUUUAAACCAAGCUUGUCUAACCCACAGCCUGCAGUCCACAUGCUCAGGAUGGCUUGGAAUGCAUCCCAACACAAUCCCUACACUUUCUUAAAACAUUGAGGUCCUCUAUUUAUUUUUUUUUAGCUCAUCAACUGUCCUUAGUGUUAGUGUAUUUAGUGUGUGGCCUGAGACAGUUGUUCUUCUAAUGUGGCACAGGGAAGCCAAAAGAUUGGACAUCCCUGAUUUAAAUAAAACGUUCAAGACCAUGUUCUUACAAUGCACCACAUACCUGAACAGAUUAUUCGUGUCUUCUCUGGCCAGGUGUAAAUACUUGGCUCCUCUGUCAUCGUGGCUGAGCUUCAUGGGCGUCAGGAACAGCUCGGGAACAGAUGUCACCUGAGUUAACCAGAAAAACAUGAGCAGUUAAAUGUAGACAAAAUAUCCUGUGAAAUGGUGACCUUCAACACACUGAGAAAACUGGCUUUUCUGCCUGAAAUUAGAUGAUGCCGGGAAGCCAGUACUUCAGAGCUGGAUAGAACAGAACCAUCCUGUCCAAGUCCCUUAUCCUACAAACAAGGAAAGUAAGACCUAAAAAAGGCAGAUGAGAAUGUGUGUGUAUAUAUGUAUAUUUUUGAGUGCUUAUUACUGGCUAGGUAUUUUCCAUUUUUUUAUUUUUUAAAUUUUUUAUUCUUUUUUGGCUAGGCAUUUUCUAAUCAUGUCACAUAGAAUCCUGUGACGGAGGUAUUCUCAUCCUCAUUUACAGAUGAAAAAACUGAGGCUCAGGGUGAUGAAGCAAGCUGCCCGAAUCAGAGCCAGGAUUCGCCCUGGUGUCUGCCCUUCCCACGGUACUGUGCUGCACCUAAGUCCUAAGUAACACAGCACCCUUUCCAAUGCCUGCUGAGUGCCUCCUGCUUUUGUGUACUGCACCUCAGUAACACAGCACCCCUUCCAACAUCGGCUGUGUGCCUCCUGUUUCUGUGCAUAUAAUCUCCUGUAGUGCGAAGCACGGGCCUGCAGGAGGGGCAAUGCUGGAGUGGGCUAGCCGGCGACAGCGGGGAGACGGUCCAGGAUCAGUCUUUGCUUCUCCUAGUUUGGGAUGGAUUCUCGGUGGUAGCUGUAAGCACAAAGCUGGUGCUUCCAGAACAGCUGGAGGGGCUGGGAGGAUAGAAAUGCCCCCCAAAAAGAUGAAAGACUCCCCACUCCUGGGGCAGGGUGGAAGAUCUUCUCCUACCUUAGGCAAGCCUCCUGGUAAGUGUCCAUACUCCUCGGUAUGAAAGAAACUGUCUUCUCUUCCAGUCAGGCCAGCCGGCCCUCUCCCUCAAUCACAUACCACGUCCCUGUGAUCACCACGCCACUUGCCACUCCCUCUGUCCAGGUGCCGUGAGUCACCUGGCCAAGCGCGCACAGCAAGUCACUGGCAGAGGUGAGACCUCGGGUCUCCUCAGCCCAAUCUAGGGAGCCUGCCAUCCA
ensembl:lncRNA